rnacentral:rRNA from 1 species
AGAGUUUGAUCAUGGCUCAGGAUGAACGCUAGCGGCAGGCCUAACACAUGCAAGUCGAGGGGCAGCGGGGAAAAGCUUGCUUUUCCGCCGGCGACCGGCGCACGGGUGCGCACCGCGUAUGGAACCUGCCUUGUACAGGGGAAUAGCCCAGGGAAACUUGGAUUAAUGCCCCGUAGUACCGUAUUUCGGCAUCGUUAUACGGUUAAAGCCUUCGGGCGGUACAAGAUGGCCAUGCGUCCCAUUAGCUGGAUGGUAAGGUAACGGCUUACCAUGGCUACGAUGGGUAGGGGCCCUGAGAGGGGGAUCCCCCACACUGGUACUGAGACACGGACCAGACUCCUACGGGAGGCAGCAGUGAGGAAUAUUGGACAAUGAAGGGGACUCUGAUCCAGCCAUGCCGCGUGCAGGAAGAAUGCCCUAUGGGUAGUAAACUGCUUUUAUACGGGAAGAAAAAGAGCUACGUGUAGCUUACUGACGGUACCGUAAGAAUAAGGACCGGCUAACUCCGUGCCAGCAGCCGCGGUAAU